UCGACGGACUCAUAUUGAAACCUAGUGAAGUAUGAGUUAGUGGCGGACGGGUGAGUAACGCGUGGAAAACCUGCCGUAUACUGGGGGAUAACACUUAGAAAUAGGUGCUAAUACCGCAUAAGCGCACAGCUUCGCAUGAAGCAGUGUGAAAAACUGAGGUGGUAUACGAUGGUUCCGCGUCUGAUUAGCUAGUUGGUGGAGUAAAAGCCUACCAAGGCAACGAUCAGCAGCCGGCCUGAGAGGGUGAACGGCCACAUUGGGACUGAGACACGGCCCAAACUCCUACGGGAGGCAGCAGUGGGGAAUAUUGCACAAUGGGGGAAACCCUGAUGCAGCGACGCCGCGUGAGUGAAGAAGUAUUUCGGUAUGUAAAGCUCUAUCAGCAGGGAAGAAAUACUGACCAUAGGGUCAGCAGACGGUACUUGACUAAGAAGCCCCGGCUAACUACGUGCCAGCAGCCGCGGUAAUACGUAGGGGGCAAGCGUUAUCCGGAUUUACUGGGUGUAAAGGGAGCGUAGACGGCAGCGCAAGUCUGAAGUGAAAUGCCAGGGCUUAACCCUGGAACUGCUUUGGAAACUGUGCAGCUAGAGUGCAGGAGAGGUAAGUGGAAUUUCUAGUGUAGCGGUGAAAUGCGUAGAUAUUAGGAGGAACACCAGUGGCGAAGGCGGCUUACUGGACUGUAACUGACGUUGAGGCUCGAAAGCGUGGGGAGCAAACAGGAUUAGAUACCCUGGUAGUCCACGCUGUAAACGAUGAUUACUAGGUGUUGGGGGACCAAGGUUCUUCGGUGCCGUCGCAAACGCAAUAAGUAAUCCACCUGGGGAGUACGUUCGCAAGAAUGAAACUCAAAGGAAUUGACGGGGACCCGCACAAGCGGUGGAGCAUGUGGUUUAAU
rnacentral:rRNA from 1 species